AGAGUUUGAUCCUGGCUCAGGACGAACGCUAGCGACGUGCCUAAGAAAUGCAAGUCGAGCGAGGUUAGAGAGCUUGCUCUCGACGCCUAGCGGCGAACGGUCGCGUAACACGUAAGCAACCUGCCCUGAAGUUGGGGAUAGCCCUCCGAAAGGAGGAUUAAUACCGAAUGUGGACACUUUCCCGCAUGAGAGAGUGUCUGAAGCAGCAAUGCGCUUCAGGAUGGGCUUGCGGCCUAUCAGCUAGUUGGUGUGGUAACGGCAUACCAAGGCGACGACGGGUAGCUGGUCUGAGAGGAUGGUCAGCCGGACUGGGACUGAGAUACGGCCCAGACUCCUACGGGGGGCAGCAAUUAGGAAUCUUGCGCAAUGGGCGAAAGCCUGACGCAGCGACGUCGCGUGACCGAUGAAGUCUUUCGGGAUGUAAAGGUCUUUUCUGGGGGAAGAAGGAUGUGACGGUACCCCAGGAAUAAGCCCCGGCUAACUACGUGCCAGCAGCCGCGGUAAUACGUAGGGGGCGAGCGUUGUCCGAAUUCACUGGGCGUAAAGCGCGCGUAGGCGGAUAUUUAAGUUGUGGGUGAAAUCCCGGGGCUCAACCCCGGAACUGCCUGCAAAACUGGAUAUCUUGAGGUAUGAAGAGGGAAGUGGAAUUCCAGGUGUAGCGGUGAAACGCGUAGAUAUCUGGAGGAACACCCGUGGCGAAGGCGGCUUCCUGGUCAUAUCCUGACGCUGAGGUGCGAAAGCCAGGGGAGCGAACGGGAUUAGAUACCCCGGUAGUCCUGGCCGUAAACGAUGGAUACUAGGUGUUAGAGGUAUCGACCCCUCUAGUGCCGCAGCUAACGCAUUAAGUAUCCCGCCUGGGGAGUACGACCGCAAGGUUGAAACUCAAAUGAAUUGACGG
rnacentral:rRNA from 1 species